rnacentral:rRNA from 1 species
UGGGGAAUAUUGCACAAUGGGCGCAAGCCUGAUGCAGCCAUGCCGCGUGUGUGAAGAAGGCCUUCGGGUUGUAAAGCACUUUCAGCGGGGAGGAAGGCGAUAAGGUUAAUAACCUUGUCGAUUGACGUUACCCGCAGAAGAAGCACCGGCUAACUCCGUGCCAGCAGCCGCGGUAAUACGGAGGGUGCAAGCGUUAAUCGGAAUUACUGGGCGUAAAGCGCACGCAGGCGGUCUGUCAAGUCGGAUGUGAAAUCCCCGGGCUCAACCUGGGAACUGCAUUCGAAACUGGCAGGCUAGAGUCUUGUAGAGGGGGAUAGAAUUCCAGGUGUAGCGGUGAAAUGCGUAGAGAUCUGGAGGAAUACCGGUGGCGAAGGCGGCCCCCUGGACAAAGACUGACGCUCAGGUGCGAAAGCGUGGGGAGCAAACAGG